ensembl:lncRNA
CCCCGGUGCCUCCGUCUCCGCCCUCCUCCCUCCUCAUCUACUACAACCGCUAUGAGCCCCGAUCAAGGCACCGAUUGGCUUCAUCUGCACACUACUGUAACAGUGCAACACGGCACAUUGCUGUCGCCGGGGGGGGGAACUGAUGAGAGGGCAUUAACACUAACAGUGCAGGCCUCGCAAGAGUAGGGCAGAUUUAAAACAUCACAUGGUCUGUGGAGCCAUUGUCGACCCCGUGGCAUGCUGGUUUUUUUUAUACAAAUAAGGAAAGAAAUUUGAAUAUUAACACCAGCGUUGAUGUGUGUCACUACAGUACCCGUCAUACCAUUCAGAUAACAACUCAGCUUGGAGUUAGCAAGUACCCUCCUUCAGCUGGGAAGCAAUACAGCAACAGAUCCCAUAUUCUUUCAUGGAUUUAGGAUAAUCUACAGUAAAUAUAUCUGGAUAUAUGAGGACACAUGUGUGAACCAGGCCAUGACAACAAAGGGCCGGAAGGAGCAAAACAGCGUUGAGUGUGUGGCAGAGAGAGGAGAUGUUUAAGGGAAGGGCACCGAGAAACCACUAUUUGCAUACAGGCAGCAUGGCAAGACGAGAAUGUCACUUUUCAGGAACCAAAACUCGCACUGAAGCAACAGGCAUGACCACACGGCGAGGUCAGUGAUCUCAUUUUCCUCGCGUUCAUCCAGCGCAGCAGCGCUCAGUCUAUCGGCCCGUCCGCAGCUCAGUGCCCCUUCGACCGGGUUUGAAAGUUGGAGAUUGGCGAAGCAGUAUGCCAGGUGUACGAAAACAUCGAAACGACCAGAUCGCGGCAGCAGCGGAAAGUUAGGAUGGAGGAAAAGGGCGUCGGCAUGGAUGAGACGACGACGUGACCUGCUGAGGAGGCUGCCGGGCCGCACGCGAGCCGAAGCUGUUAGACUCCCAUCGAUUUGGCUCCCACUGGCUUACAAGUCUACAUUUGUACGUGUACUUUUUCACAGGGAAAUGGCUUUCGAAUGACACAUCCCAUCACAGCUUGGACACCGUGUGGCUAUUGUGCUUCUUUUCUACGCUUCCACUGUGCAGCUUUAGAGGCAGAAAUAGUAAGCGUGUACUCAAAUUGUAAUCUAAAUUGUUUUAAUAAACUCUUUGAUGUAACAUCAGCUUCACGUCCUGAGGAGACAUCUUAUGAACGCCACAAAAUAAAAGGGAAUUAG